UGGGGAAUAUUGGACAAUGGGGGCAACCCUGAUCCAGGCAUGCCGCGUGUGUGAAGAAGGCCUUCGGGUUGUAAAGCACUUUAGGUAAGGAAGAAAAGUUAUUGGUUAAUACCUAAUGACCGUGACAUUACUUACAGAAUAAGGACCGGCUAACUCCGUGCCAGCAGCCGCGGUAAUACGGAGGGUCCAAGCGUUAAUCGGAAUUACUGGGCGUAAAGCGCGCGUAGGCGGUUUGACAAGUUGGGUGUGAAAUCCCCGGGCUUAACCUGGGAACUGCAUUCAAAACUUUUAAACUGGAGUACGGGAGAGGAGAGUAGAAUUCAUGGUGUAGCGGUGAAAUGCGUAGAUAUCAUGAGGAAUACCAAUGGCGAAGGCAACUCUCUGGACCGUAACUGACGCUGAGGUGCGAAAGCGUGGGUAGCAAACAGG
rnacentral:rRNA from 1 species